CCGGUACACUUCAUCCAGAAAGCCAGUAGCGACAGCUUCUUGUGGAACUCUGGAAUAGCUGGAGGAGAAAACAAAACAAACAAUUAAAUAAAGCCGUGUUGAAAGCAUUGACUUCCAGAAGAGAAAAGAUGGUUGUGAGAAAAUUUGCUCCUGAUUGAGUUCUGGACACUGAUGUCUCAUCCUUUUAAAUACCACAAAAUACUAUGGGAAUACUGCAAAUGGUCUGCACAAGACGGGUCCCUGUCCUAGCACUGCUCUGUGGCCUUGGGAAAGAGAGGUGGAAGAUUUUGGCUCUUCAGAGGUGGAAGCAACCCCACCCCACCGCAGCAAUGACCUCUGUCCAUCUUCUGCACAUGAAAGCAUGAUAAGGAUAAGUCCUUUCUCGUCUUCCCUGCUUAUUUCUGGAUACCAGCGCUGAAGAUAGAAUAAGGCCCCUGACCAAUUUGGGUGACUGCUACAUCUGCUGGUAACCGUGAGUUGACCU